GAAAAAAAUUUGUAUUCAAGAGAUCCCAGUAGUCUGAGACUUCUCAAAUAUGUUUUUCGAUGAACUUUCCAGACUAUCAGUGGACAGAAAAGUUGAGUUCACCAUAAACCUUCAGCCUGACACGCAACCUAUCUUAGUUUUUCUUUACCGCGUGAGUUGUGUUGAGAUAAAAAAGUUAAGAAAACAUAUCAAUAAAUUG
rnacentral:lncRNA from 1 species